UACAAUGGCAACUUCAAAAUCAGAGAUGUCCCUUACAGCAGUGCUCUGUCCCGGCGGUCCUCAGAUAAGUUUAGAGAUGUGGGAAACUGGAUUGAAAAACUGAUGUAUGAGACAUUUCACAAUUCCAUUUUAAAACAUAAAUACAGAGGCUCACAGCUUGUCAAAGUGAGCCCAGACGCAGGGGGCCUGGUCACGCAAGUGGUGCUGAUGUUCCUCUUCUCUUCUGCUGACAAUCACCUGACGCUCCAGCAGAU